UUAAAUUAAAAACGCGUUACUCGUAUAUGCCCUUAAUAAGGAAGGGCGUUUCUACCGGAAACCAUUGUAAUUUCCGUCUAUGAGUGGCAAAGGUGCUUCU
rnacentral:ncRNA from 2 species